rnacentral:rRNA from 1 species
UUCCGUAGGUGAACCUGCGGAGGGAUCAUUACAGAGUUCAUGCCCUCCGGGUAGAUCUCCCACCCACUGCUAUCACUACUCUCGUUGCUUUGGCGGGCCGCCGGGCCCUGCCCGGCCGCCGGCCCCGGCUGGCGCGUGCCCGCCAGAGACCUCACAGACUCUGAAUGUUAGUGUCGUCCGAGUAACUAUAUAAUCGUUAAAACUUUCAACAACGGAUCUCUUGGUUCUGGCAUCGAUGAAGAACGCAGCGAAAUGCGAUAAGUAAUGCGAAUUGCAGAAUUCAGUGAGUCAUCGAAUCUUUGAACGCACAUUGCGCCCUGUGGUAUUCCGCAGGGCAUGCCUGUUCGAGCGUCAUUUCAACCCUCAAGCCUCGCUUGGUGUUGGGCCCUGCCCGCCGCGGCCGGCCCUAAAGAUAGUGGCGGCGCCGCCUGGCCCUCAGCGUAGUACAGCUCUCGCUCCAGGGUCCGGCGGCAGCCUGCCAGAACCCCCCAACUCUGUGGUUGACCUCGGAUCAGGUAGGGAUACCCGCUGAACUUAAGCAUAUCAAUAAGGGGGAGGA